GAUGAACGCUAGCGGCAGGCUUAAUACAUGCAAGUUGAGGGGCAGCAUGAUAUACGCGAGUAUAUUGAUGGCGACCGGCGGACGGGUGAGUAAUAGGUAGGAGACCUACCUCAUACAGGGGGAUAGCAUAGAGAAAUCUGUGGUAAUACCCCAUGAGGUUAUAUGAAUAGAGGCAUAUAAUCAAAGCAUAAGCGAUUAUGCGGUAUGAGAGGGGCCUACUGACCAUUAGCUAGUUGGUGAGGUAAGGGCUCACCAAGGCGAAGAUGGUUAGGGGUUUUGAGAGAGAGACCCCCCACAUUGGAACUGAGAGACGGUCCAGACUCCUACGGGAGGCAGCAGUCGAGAAUAGUCUACAAUGGCCGGAAGGCUGAUAGUGCGACGCCGCGUGAACGAGGGAGCCCUUCGGGUGUAAAGUUCUUUCUAUACGAGCAGUGCUAUAUAUAUGGAUAGUAUAUAUAGAGGGAUAGUAGUAUAGG
rnacentral:rRNA from 1 species